UACGAAGGGGGCUAGCGUUGCUCGGAAUGACUGGGCGUAAAGGGCGCGUAGGCGGCUUGCACCGUCAGAUGUGAAAUUCCUGGGCUUAACCUGGGGGCUGCAUUUGAUACGUGUGGGCUUGAGUGCGGAAGAGGGUCGUGGAAUUCCCAGUGUAGAGGUGAAAUGCGUAGAUAUCUGGAGGAAUACCGGUGGCGAAGGCGGCAUCCUGGACCGGUAUUGACGCUGAGACGCGAAAGCGUGGGGAGCGAACAGG
rnacentral:rRNA from 1 species